rnacentral:lncRNA from 1 species
CGUGUCCCUGAAAUUGUGAAUCAUUAAAAAGCACUGGCUUCUUCUAGACUGCGUGGCUUGGGAUGCCGAAACACGACGAAAUUAUUGCAUGAACCAGGUGCAAGUGAACCUGGGCAAAUCUCGGAGCAUAUGCACGGUGAGGAGCGCGCAAUCGGGAAUCGAUGAAAUACAAGGGGCCGCGUGGCGGGCUAUUCAUCGUGGGAUUUGC